AGUCGAGCGGGCCCUUCGGGGUCAGCGGCAGACGGGUGAGUAACACGUGGGAACGUACCCUUUGGUUCGGAAUAACGCUGGGAAACUAGCGCUAAUACCGGAUACGCCCUUUUGGGGAAAGGCUUGCUGCCGAAGGAUCGGCCCGCGUCUGAUUAGCUAGUUGGUGGGGUAACGGCCUACCAAGGCGACGAUCAGUAGCUGGUCUGAGAGGAUGAUCAGCCACACUGGGACUGAGACACGGCCCAGACUCCUACGGGAGGCAGCAGUGGGGAAUAUUGGACAAUGGGCGCAAGCCUGAUCCAGCCAUGCCGCGUGAGUGAUGAAGGCCUUAGGGUUGUAAAGCUCUUUUGUCCGGGACGAUAAUGACGGUACCGGAAGAAUAAGCCCCGGCUAACUUCGUGCCAGCAGCCGCGGUAAUACGAAGGGGGCUAGCGUUGCUCGGAAUCACUGGGCGUAAAGGGCGCGUAGGCGGCCAUUCAAGUCGGGGGUGAAAGCCUGUGGCUCAACCACAGAAUUGCCUUCGAUACUGUUUGGCUUGAGUAUGGUAGAGGUUGGUGGAACUGCGAGUGUAGAGGUGAAAUUCGUAGAUAUUCGCAAGAACACCGGUGGCGAAGGCGGCCAACUGG
rnacentral:rRNA from 1 species